rnacentral:rRNA from 1 species
CCUACGGGUGGCAGCAGUAGGGAAUCUUCCACAAUGGGCGAAAGCCUGAUGGAGCAACGCCGCGUGGGUGAAGAAGGUCUUCGGAUCGUAAAACCCUGUUGUUAGAGAAGAAAGUGCGUGAGAGUAACUGUUCACGUUUCGACGGUAUCUAACCAGAAAGCCACGGCUAACUACGUGCCAGCAGCCGCGGUAAUACGUAGGUGGCAAGCGUUAUCCGGUUUUUUUGGGCGUAAAGGGAAGGCAGGCGGGCUUUUAAGUCUGAUGUGAAAGCUUUCGGCUUAACCGGAGUAGUGCAUUGGAAACUGGGAGACUUGAGUGCAGAAGAGGAGAGUGGAACUCCAUGGGUAGCGGUGAAAUGCGUAGAUAUAUGGAAGAACACCAGUGGCGAAAGCGGCUCUCUGGUCUGUAACUGACGCUGAGGUUCGAAAGCGUGGGUAGCAAACAGGAUUAGAUACCCUAGUAGUC